rnacentral:rRNA from 1 species
GACGAACGCUGGCGGCGUGCUUAACACAUGCAAGUCGAACGAAGUGGCGAACGGGUGAGUAACGCGUCAUCAACCUGCCCUUCGGAGGGGGACAACAGUUGGAAACGACGGCUAAUACCGCAUACGGAAGGAGGGGAUUGCGUCUGAUUAGCUAGUUGGAGGGGUAACGGCCCAACAGGGCGAUGAUCAGUAGCCGGUCCGAGAGGAUGAACGGCCACCUUGGGACUGAGACACGGCCCAGGCUUCUACGGGAGGCAGCAGUGGGGAAUCUUCCGCAAUGGACGAAAGUCUUACGGAGCAACGCCGCGGGAGUGAUGACGGCCUUCGGGUUGUAAAGCUCUGUUAAUCGGGACGCGGUACCGGAAGAGAAAGCCACGGCUAACUACGUGCCAGCAGCCGCGGUAAUUC